AUUGAACGCUGGCGGCAGGCCUAACACAUGCAAGUCGAGCGGAUGAAGGGAGCUUGCUCCUGGAUUCAGCGGCGGACGGGUGAGUAAUGCCUAGGAAUCUGCCUGGUAGUGGGGGAUAACGUCCGGAAACGGGCGCUAAUAUCGCAUACGUCCUGAGGGAGAAAGUGGGGGAUCUUCGGACCUCACGCUAUCAGAUGAGCCUAGGUCGGAUUAGCUAGUUGGUGGGGUAAAGGCCUACCAAGGCGACGAUCCGUAACUGGUCUGAGAGGAUGAUCAGUCACGCUGGAACUGAGACACGGUCCAGACUCCUACGGGAGGCAGCAGUGGGGAAUAUUGGACAAUGGGCGAAAGCCUGAUCCAGCCAUGCCGCGUGUGUGAAGAAGGUCUUCGGAUUGUAAAGCACUUUAAGUUGGGAGGAAGGGCAGUAAGUUAAUACCUUGCUGUUUUGACGUUACCAACAGAAUAAGCACCGGCUAACUUCGUG
rnacentral:rRNA from 1 species